rnacentral:rRNA from 1 species
GAUGAACGCUGGCGGCGUGCCUAAUACAUGCAAGUCGAGCGAAGCGAGGACGGGUAAGUAACACGUGUCUACCCUCCUAUAAGACUGGGAUAACUUCGGGAGACCUGAUCUAGACACGACACUUAUAGAUGGCUCCGAGCUGCAUUAGCCAGUUGGUGAGGGAACGGCUUACCAAGGCAACGAUGGAUAGCCGACCUGCGAGGGUGACCGGACACACUGGAACGGAGACACGGUCCAGACUCCGAAGGGAGGCAGAAGUGGGGAAGCUGCGGCAAUGGGCGAAAGCCUGACGGAGCAACGCCGCGUGAGUGAUGAAGGUCUGCGGAUCGAAAAACUCUUUUAUUAGGGAGGCGGUACCUGAUCAGAAAGCCACGGCUAACUACGUGCCAGCAGCCGCGGUAAUAC